rnacentral:rRNA from 1 species
CGGCGGACGGGUGAGUAAUGCCUAGGAAUCUGCCUGGUAGUGGGGGACAACGUUUCGAAAGGAACGCUAAUACCGCAUACGUCCUACGGGAGAAAGCAGGGGACCUUCGGGCCUUGCGCUAUCAGAUGAGCCUAGGUCGGAUUAGCUAGUUGGCGAGGUAAUGGCUCACCAAGGCGACGAUCCGUAACUGGUCUGAGAGGAUGAUCAGUCACACUGGAACUGAGACACGGUCCAGACUCCUACGGGAGGCAGCAGCC